AACGAACGCUGGCGGCAGGCUUAACACAUGCAAGUCGAGCGCCCCGCAAGGGGAGCGGCAGACGGGUGAGUAACGCGUGGAAAUCUACCCAUCUCUACGGAACAACUCCGGGAAACUGGAGCUAAUACCAUAUACGUCCUUCGGGAGAAAGAUUUAUCGGAGAUGGAUGAGCCCGCGUUGGAUUAGCUAGUUGGUGGGGUAAUGGCCUACCAAGGCGACGAUCCAUAGCUGGUCUGAGAGGAUGAUCAGCCACACUGGGACUGAGACACGGCCCAGACUCCUACGGGAGGCAGCAGUGGGGAAUAUUGGACAAUGGGCGAAAGCCUGAUCCAGCCAUGCCGCGUGAGUGAUGAAGGCCUUAGGGUUGUAAAGCUCUUUCGCAGGUGAAGAUAAUGACGGUAACCUGAGAAGAAGCCCCGGCUAACUUCGUGCCAGCAGCCGCCGUAAUAC
rnacentral:rRNA from 1 species